rnacentral:rRNA from 1 species
AUCGAACGCUGGCGGCAGGCCUAACACAUGCAAGUCGAACGAGAGGCGGACGGGUGAGAAAUGUGUGGGAAAAUGCCCGAUGGGUGGGGAUAACGACUGGAUACGUUAGCCAAUACCGCACACCAUAGGAUGUGAACACAUGGGAGUACCUUGUUGGUGAGGUAACGGCUCACCUAGACGACGACCCCUAGCUGGGGUGAGAGGAUGAUCAGCCACACUGGAACUGAGACACGGGCCAGACUCCUACGGGAGGCAGCAGUUGGGAAUAUUUCACAAUGGGCGAAAGCCUGAUUCAGCCAUGCCGCGGGUAUGAAGAAGGCCUUCGGGUUGUAAAGUACUUUCAGCGGGGAUGCGUUACCCGAAGAAGAAGCACCGGAUAACUCCGUGCCAGCCGCCGCGGUAAUAC